GACGAACGCUGGCGGCAGGCUUAACACACGCAAGUCGAGCGGAGCGAGGGUGCUUGCACCUUAGCUUAGCGGCGGACGGGUGAGUAAUGCUUAGGAAUCUGCCUAUUAGUGGGGGACAACAUUUCGAAAGGGAUGCUAAUACCGCAUACGCCCCAAGGGGGAAAGCAGGGGAUCUUCGGAACUGGCGCUAAUAGAUGAGCCUAAGUCGGAUUAGCUAGUUGGUGGGGUAAAGGCCUACCAAGGAGACGAUCUGUAGCGGGUCUGAGAGGAUGAUCCGCCACACUGGGACUGGGACACGGCCCAGACUCCUACGGGAGGCAGCAGUGGGGAAUAUUGGACAAUGGGGGGAACCCUGAUCCAGCCAUGCCGCGUGUGUGAAGAAGGCCUUUUGGUUGUAAAGCACUUUAAGCGAGGAGGAGGCUACCGAGACUAAUACUCUUGGAUAGUGGACGUUACUCGCAGAAUAAGCACCGGCUAACUCUGUGCCAGCCGCCGCCGUAAUAC
rnacentral:rRNA from 1 species